GCCCAGCUAGCUCAGUCGGUAGAGCAUGAGACUCUUAAUCUCAGGGUCGUGAGUUCAAGCCCAACAUUGGGUG
rnacentral:tRNA from 1 species